rnacentral:rRNA from 2 species
UGCAGUCGAGCGAACUGAUUAGAAGCUUGCUUCUAUGACGUUAGCGGCGGACGGGUGAGUAACACGUGGGCAACCUGCCUGUAAGACUGGGAUAACUUCGGGAAACCGAAGCUAAUACCGGAUAGGAUCUUCUCCUUCAUGGGAGAUGAUUGAAAGAUGGUUUCGGCUAUCACUUACAGAUGGGCCCGCGGUGCAUUAGCUAGUUGGUGAGGUAACGGCUCACCAAGGCAACGAUGCAUAGCCGACCUGAGAGGGUGAUCGGCCACACUGGGACUGAGACACGGCCCAGACUCCUACGGGAGGCAGCAGUAGGGAAUCUUCCGCAAUGGACGAAAGUCUGACGGAGCAACGCCGCGUGAGUGAUGAAGGCUUUCGGGUCGUAAAACUCUGUUGUUAGGGAAGAACAAGUACGAGAGUAACUGCUUGUACCUUGACGGUACCUAACCAGAAAGCCACGGCUAACUACGUGCCAGCAGCCGCGGUAAUACGUAGGUGGCAAGCGUUAUCCGGAAUUAUUGGGCGUAAAGCGCGCGCAGGCGGUUUCUUAAGUCUGAUGUGAAAGCCCACGGCUCAACCGUGGAGGGUCAUUGGAAACUGGGGAACUUGAGUGCAGAAGAGAAAAGCGGAAUUCCACGUGUAGCGGUGAAAUGCGUAGAGAUGUGGAGGAACACCAGUGGCGAAGGCGGCUUUUUGGUCUGUAACUGACGCUGAGGCGCGAAAGCGUGG